UUUAGAAUUAUUUAUGUUUACGAAAAUUACUCCUAAGAAAUAACAAAGUAUCUUUAUUAGUGCUUCAAAAG